rnacentral:rRNA from 1 species
GAUCAUGGCUCAGGAUGAACGCUGGCGGCGUGCUUAACACAUGCAAGUCGAACGAAGCACUUUAAUUGAUUUCUUCGGAAUGAAGUUUUUGUGACUGAGUGGCGGACGGGUGAGUAACGCGUGGGUAACCUGCCUCAUACAGGGGGAUAACAGUUGGAAACGACUGCUAAUACCGCAUAAGCGCACAGGACCGCAUGGUCCGGUGUGAAAAACUCCGGUGGUGUGAGAUGGACCCGCGUUUGA